GGGAGAGGAUUGGGUAACUGGCUGGUUGAAAGGCUAGUAGGACUACAGACAGCUCAAUUUGGGCAGGGACUGGGGGAGCUAAGAGAGCUCUUGGUUGGCUGCUAGGAUUGAGCCUAAGAUAGUUACUCACAGGGAUGGGGAGAGCAACAAAGAAGCUCCUGGCUGGCUGUUUGGACUGAUUAAGGACUGGUCCUGGGGUGAGCUGCAGGAAGACCACUUGAAAAUUGCUCAGGGUCUCAGCGGACCACUUAAUGGCCUUUCUAAAGCUGCAGCCUGUGACUGUCUAGUCCUGGACUUUGUUUCUGCCCCAACAGGAAGUAUCGCAGGAAACAAAGGACUGCCUCUAGAGUGUACAGGAAGUGCGACAUCUCUACACUUCCUGGAAGACUUGCUGUAUAGCACAGGUGUCUGGUGGAGAAAGCAUUUAAAUAAUAUACGUGAUGUUCUCCUUUGUUACUUGAAACUUCCCAGAUGACUUGCUUUGUCUCCUAGUUUUUGCAUCAAUGCUAGAAUGUAUUGUGGCUUUACAUGGAUAAAGUGUGCAAAGGUUGAAACAACAAAAAAUCCUCUGGCUUUGCAGUCACUACUGCAGCACAUGGGCCAAAAUAGUGUGUACAAAGGUCUGCAUCACUUGCAUGGAACUUUAAUGCAACUGGAUCUGAGAAAUCAUGGACAUAGUAGCUCCUCCUCUGGUCCAUGUCCAAUUCCACCUUCCAUACUGGUUCAGUCACAAGGGAUAACAACACUCUAGGCAUGGCCAAUCCACUGAAUGUCACACCCUCCUCUAAAUGAGGGGCCUACGUGGUGUAGAAGACCUAUUCAGGUAGUCUCUUCCAGAGCAAAUUGUAUCCAUAGUAUUUAGGAACAGGCAAAUCCUGAAGUACUUACUUAGUUUGUACUCAGUAUUUGCUCAGGCUAACUCCCACAGACAAGAUUCACCUCAAUGAGCUCUACCUUGUGAGGACCUAAGCACUUCAAUUUCAGUGCAAGUCAUUGGGCCGUGAUGGGGCUCAGCACCUCCCAGGCAAGAUCAAGUAAUUAAUGUGUAAUUUAAAAGUUUAAAACUGAUUUUAAAAAUAUUUUCCAUGUUCCAUUCUUGGGGAUGAUGGCAGAACUGUUGGAUAAGUACAUUAUAAGGUGAUCUAUUUAAUUGUAUUCUCUGUAUUUUACAUAUUAAAAAUUAAGUGGAAAAAGCAGUGGGCUUUUAUUUAGUCUGUUUUAUGUGGUAGGUAUUGUCAUGUGUUACAGGAGCCUAGUUUGAGGAGAUGAUGAUGAUGAUGAUGAUGAUAAAUGGGUCUUUGCAAACUGUAAUUCUUAUUUUUAAUAUGAGGAACUAACUUUUUUUUCUAAAGUGUCUGUCUUAUAACAUGGAACCUAUAGUUAGCACUUCCAAAAUGUUCCCUUUUAAUAAUUAUCUAAAGCAGAGACAAAUCUGAAAAGACAAUUGUAUACUUAUGUUGCUUCAGGGCUUUAAGUGCCCACAAAAAAAGGCUUCCUUAUGCUUUAAUUUCUCUUUCUUUUUCUGACUGUAAAGACCCAUGGGGUAAAUGCCAGUCCCACAA